AUGGCCGACGCGGAUCAACGUGCGGUAUCUGUUCUUAUCAGCUUAACAUCUGAUACGGGUCGUAUUUGGACCCAAGAUAAUAAACUUAAUUUGUUUUUCAAGCUGCCGGAGUGAUUGAACCCUACUUCACCUCCGCCACAGGUCGGCCCGGUAUUGCACAAUCUUCGGGAUCGACCCACGUUUU